rnacentral:lncRNA from 1 species
UACAAUCACAAAUUACCAAAUUAUCAAUGACAAACUAAUAAUUUUUUAGGUUAUACAGUAUUUUUUAUCAUAAUUUAUCUUUUUCAUCGAUCACAUAUUGAGCAUUUGUCACAGAUUAAUCAAUUUAAUUGUUACAAUCAACUAAAUAAUUUGUGACCACCUCAACACUUACCACCACAGGUUCACCCUUGUCUCCAAUAACAUCACCACCACCGUGGUCUCCAGAGCCACCAUCACCUCCUCCCUCUAGCAACCCUUUUUUUUUUUUUUAUUUUUAAGGUCAGAAAACUGAAAUAAUUUGUCACAAACACUAUUCGUCCCACUCCAUUUGCGUCGCCGUCGCACCGCCACCACUUCCACCAACAAAACCGCCCCAAACCCCAACAACACCAAAAAAACCACCAACGCCCAUCUAACAUCCCAAAAAAAAAAAAAAUCAUCUUUAUCACUGCGAUUUGUGCCUACUACAACUACGAUCUGCUCCGCCAUCGUUGUCAUGCCCACCGGACCACCACCACCACCCUCACCACCACGAAAACAUGGAAUCUACCAACAACUAAAAAAAAAAAAAUCAUCAUCAACAUCGUGAUUCGCACCAUCUGAACCCAUCUUCAUCUCAAAUCUGCUCGAAAAUCUUAGAUCGACACUACUAUCAAAUCAAAGGUGAGUGGGCAUGGUGGUAGCGCAAGUGACAUCGCGACGGUAGAGGGAGAUGGGAGAGGAAGAGAGAAUGGAAAGGUGAAAAAAGAGAUGCUAUGAGAUCUUAGAUCGACGAACGACAUAUUCAGGUGGGCAUGGUAGCGACGAUAAUGACUGUGGACUAUUGGCAGUGAUGCAGUUCUUAGAAAAAGCGAGUAGAAAGAGAUGGGAGUAGAAGAGAGAACAGGUGGGUGCUAGAGAGAAAGAAUAGAUAGGGAAAUAAUUAGGGUUUGGAAGUGUAGAUGAUAGUAGUGGCGUGGAU